rnacentral:rRNA from 1 species
AUUGAACGCUGGCGGCAGGCCUAACACAUGCAAGUCGAGCGGAUGAAGGGAGCUUGCUCCUGGAUUCAGCGGCGGACGGGUGAGUAAUGCCUAGGAAUCUGCCUGGUAGUGGGGGAUAACGUCCGGAAACGGGCGCUAAUACCGCAUACGUCCUGAGGGAGAAAGUGGGGGAUCUUCGGACCUCACGCUAUCAGAUGAGCCUAGGUCGGAUUAGCUAGUUGGUGGGGUAAAGGCCUACCAAGGCGACGAUCCGUAACUGGUCUGAGAGGAUGAUCAGUCACCCUGGAACUGAGACACGGUCCAGACUCCUACGGGAGGCAGCAGUGGGGAAUAUUGGACAAUGGGCGAAAGCUUGAUCCAGCCAUGCCGCGUGUGUGAAGAAGGUCUUCGGAUUGUAAAGCACUUUAAGUUGGGAGGAAGGGCAGUAAGUUAAUACCUUGCUGUUUUGACGUUACCAAAAGAAUAAGCACCGGCUAACUUCGUG